AAAAAAAAAAAAAAAAAAAUCCUUCAUUUCAGAUCGGCCGAAAAGCUUCUCCGCUGGGUAAACGAUUGGUGGCGUCAGACCCGGUGAGUAACUUCCCAUGAUCUCCUUAUCGGUCUUAUUCGUUCCCUUUGCUGUCUAAGAAGACGCUAAAAAGAGAAAAGAUUGAUUGCUUUGUCCGUACUUAAGCAAAAACUGUGACUAUAAUGAGUUUUGGGAGUUUUUCUGUUAACCAUUUCGUUCAUUUAUUUAUCCUUAAAUGUGCUGAAACUUGUUGGAUUUUGGGAUUUUGCUUCUAUUGGGUCUUUGCUUAAAAAUGCGUAAGCUUUCUGGACAAUUAAAGACCCCCUGAUAUUUAAGAGGCCGACAAUUAUCAUUUCAUUCAAUUAGUCCGCCAGUGUUAUUAUUUCUGUUCUGCUCAUACAGAGUUUCAUAGGCAUCCCUUUAGUUUUUUCCCUUUUUUGGAUGUUGGCAUUUGUGAAAGGUGCAGUUCACUAAAAUUCAUGAUGGUGGUUUACCAGGUUAGGGAGCUUCAACACAGAUUGGGAUUUUUUGUUGGCCUAGCAUGCUUUCUCAUUUUGUCAUUCUGCACUACAUUCUCAGCUUCAUUAUAAGUAUCUCGACUUUCAGUUAUGGGGACAUUGGUGAGAAUAAAGUUUUGACUGUUGGGAAGGAACUGUUGAAGGAAACGCUUCCAUUGCAAAUGGGUUCUCGCAUUUACGGAUUGCAAGGGCUCAAAUCUUAUACUUGGUACGAAGUGAAGAUAUCAUAUCCAGCUUCUAUACCUGCUACCUUUUCUAUACAACUGAAGAAAGACGAUUCAGACUUGGGGAUGAAUAAGAAUAGAAGAUUGCUUAACACUGAGAAACUGAUUUUCAAGACUGAUAGUCUCACUGGUAAUCAGAAUAAAUUGUAUGUGUUGGUGACUGUGGAGCCUGAGGGGGUUGUUGCAAUGCCACAUGUACCAGAGAGGCAGUAUAUCAUAUUCAACAUAGGUAUGGCAUGGUAUGAACUUCUAGAUUUAUUGUGUAUUUGGUUAAGCUAACUUGUUCCUUAUUUGUAAGUUAUUUCUUUUACAGUCUAUUAAUGUUUUUUAAACUUUCACAUGCAAUCUAAUUCCCCUCUCCCUGGGUCAUGUUUGAGGCAAGAACCAUUAAAAGUGGUCAUAUACUACGUAAUCAUCUUACCUUUAAUUAGUUUAUCAAUUCUUCCUUUUUUUUUUUUUUUUUAAGAAACUAAUAAAACAAUGUAAUUUUAUUUGUAAGAUAAUUGACAAGUCAGUAAAUUAAUCUGAAAACCUUUAAUUUUCCAUCAUAGUGACUUUUAUGAAAUCAAAUUCAAAUUCAAUGGUUUUUUAUGAAAUAAAUUAAAGUUUAGUGGCUUUUAUAGAAACACUCAUAAAAUUGAGGACUACAUGUGAUAUUUACCCUAAUUCUUUGCACUGAAAGAAAAUUAUAUAUAUAUAUAUAUUGCUAUCUUCUCGCUUUCCAUUACUCAGAUAUUUUUUUUUUUGUUUUAUAGUACAGGUUGGCUUUCUUUAUUUGUGCUUAUAUUUCUGGCAAUUAUUUUGCGUUUAUAGCUUCUAAGGUUUAACUAUCCUUGGAAGUGGCAGAAAUUACCUUAUAUUUUUUAUGCAGGAGUUACUGUACCUGUACGGAUUUGUCAUUGAUAAUAAUCCAGAUGACUAUCUCAUGGUAAUGUAAUUCAUAUUUAAUUUGAAUUUUAUUGCUUAUCACUUUUUAUCUUGGCCUCUUGUGAACCAAGUUUGAUUCUUAAUAUAUUUAAUUGUGCUUUAGUGACUUUGUUUGACCAUAUGGGUUGUUGAAGUGGAUCUCCCAUUUUAUUCAUGAGGCUUGUUCAGAAUUUUUUUUUUUUUUAUUGAAUUGUAACAUCUCAUUUGCAUUAACUUGCCCUAUGGGUGGAAAGAGUACAUGACUCCAAAUUGUGAGGAGCAGCCACUAGCCAAUUACAAGGCAAAACAUUUGUAAUACAAAGCUUUUCUAAGCAAUCAGCUGCUGCAUUUGCUUUUCUAUUCACUAGCGAAAAAGACAGGUUACUGAAACUAGGGAUAUAAGAACCAUAUUUUCUAUUACAGCCAAUGAUUUGUACUAGCUGAUCAAGAGGUGGGCACUUGCAUGUGUAAUGUAUGCAGGUUCAUUAUCCUGUAGAGGCAAUUCAGAAUGAUCCCUUUUUAGACUCCAAAAUGCAGCUUCUGGAAGCACAGAAAGCUGAAAUGCGGUGUCUUUUACCUAAAAGCUUGCUGGAUCAUGGGUUUUUUCCAGCAGGCACUCCAAACAAUGACAGAAAUGGCAAGUGCAAAGCAGAUCAAGUUUGCAACUUCAGUUGGAGUGGCCAGCGCAAAAUGCCCUCGUACAUAAAUAAGUUGGUCUUUCCUGAGGAUUUUUUAACUUCAUUGAGGACCAUAGCCAUGCAGGAAGAUGAGCUAUAUAAGGUUUCUUCAUUGCUUGAAGAGGUUUAGUUUCUCUUGAAAUCUCUUUUCUUUCAUCAAAUACGUAUAGAACAGUAUGUGGGGGGUUUUGAUAAGCUAACUUAAAAAAGUGUGCAGUAUAUACAAUUUACAGUCUUUAUUUCCUCGCCACAAUCAAAACUUUUUUCUUUUGGUUUAAAGCUUGUUGGGUCUGAAGGAGAAAGGCAACCUACAGAUACAGAAGUUAGAGCAGCAGUAUGGGAGGCCUGUGGGGAUUCUGGAGCUUUGCAGUUGCUUUUUGAUCUUCUUCAAACGAAGAUGGUGGAUCUUGAAGAGAGUUCUGGAACAGAGGGCUAUGAUUCGGAGCUGCUAGAAAAUGCCCAACGUGCUGAGAAUAAUUUAAGCUUAGCAAGUGGCUCAACCCAGCUCAAGUUUGUGAGCAGAAACAAAUGGGCUAGUGUAGUAUAUAGACGAGGGCAGAAGGAACUCACCAGAUUAUUCCUUAAGGAAGCAGAGCAUGCCUUGCAAUUUUCUUUGAAUGAAGGAAACUGAAUGAACCAUUUGAAUUUCAACAUCAUGCCUUGCCUUUUAUGGAUCUCAAUCUUCAGUUAAAGCUCUUGGAACUCCAAACUUUGUUAUUAACUCUCCAUUUAAUGAUCUUUCACGAGUAUGUUUUCGUCUUCUCCACCUUCCCAUUUUAUGCAUGUAUACGAUUAAACCUAGGAUUUAUGCUCGAACUAGGACGUGUAAAUGGAUUUGUUUAUUUUUUGUCAUGGAUGCCAUGUAAUGAAAAAAAGAAGUUAACAAAUUGCAAUAAGAAAAGGACAACACUGAAAUUAGAAUUGAACUCCUUAUACAUAAGUGCCUUAC
rnacentral:misc_RNA from 1 species